rfam:Setosphaeria turcica Et28A unplaced genomic scaffold SETTTscaffold_27, whole genome shotgun sequence.
GGUGGCUUGGUGUAGUGGCCGUACACCUGGCAAGUCUGAGUUUCAGACAGUUGGUUCGAAUCCAACAGCCAUCA